UUAGCUGAGGAGCGCUGCGAUCUCUUUGAGACCAGGCUCAGCUAAGACACAACGGCGCUCGCAAUCG
rnacentral:ncRNA from 1 species